rnacentral:antisense_RNA from 1 species
CCUGGAGGGUCACCCAAGGAAAGAGUUCGUUCCAAAGACAGGUGCUCCUCUGAGUUCCUCUGGAAUCUGGCAAGGUGCCGAGCUUGGACGCAAGGCUUCCACGAGGCUGUGAAGGAGGCUGCAUGGAAACCGGUGGGGAUCUGAAAAGCUUUUAGUGGCCUCGCCACACACAGCACUUUAGAUGCUCAGGUGACGAGCAACAUUUUCCAAGCCCAGCUAGUAAGCACCUCACCUCCUCUGGCUUCCAGAACCUGGUGUGGAGGGCCAGGAGAGGCUUCAGGACUGAAGGGCAGAGCAGCAGACUCCGGGGCUCAUGUAGGAACAUGCCUUCAGCCAAAGAUUAUCCACGCUGCAUGGAGACUCUUGCUAAAUAUCACUGGUAAAUGCACGAUUAUGUCCCAUUUAGAGAUCUCUAGCAGAGUGUCUUGUGUUUGAUGGAUUUGUCCUGCAUUUAAUUAUAACUUCCUGCUAAAGCUCAGAUGUUUUCUUUCAGGGAAAAAUGCAGUGGCUUAAUUUCAUUCAAUCAUUUACUGAGGAUCUGAAAUGCAUGUGGUUAGUGGUGAGAAUACUGACUCAGGGCUGUCCCUUCCUCUGGAGUUGACAGCCGACUGCGCAGGAAGGGAAGGUGAGGGUCAAACACACGGGUCAACAUCAGAAACAGCACUUCCGCCUUCCAUUGGCCCCGAUGUUUCAUGGAGGCCCCGAGGAGGCUGCGAAGGAACAUGGCAGUGACUGCUCCGUGGCUCUGCGUGGUGGCCAGCAACUGUUUGGGCACUAUGACCAUGUACGUUUGACAAAGCACAUGCAGUUAUUUGAAUAUUCUACAGUUAUUUUAGGAAACUGAGUAGAAACAGGGAAAAUUAAAAGUGCUGAUGUUAGUAAUAGGAAACAUGGAUCUCA